GCCUGCAUGGUGAAGUGGUUGUCACGCCUCCCGUAACAUAGGAGUACAUUCCAUUUAUCAACUUUCAGGGGGGAGUGCCUGGUUCGAAUCCAGGUGUAGGCU